rnacentral:lncRNA from 1 species
AGGGCCACACCUGUGGCAUAUGGAAGUUGUCAGGCUAGGGGUCAAAUCAGAGCUGAAGCUGCCAGCUUAUGCCACAGCCUCAGCAAUGCCAGAUCCAAACUGCAUCUGUGCCCUAUACCACAGCUCACAGCAAUGCUGGAUCCUUAACUCCCUGAGUGAGGCCAGGGGUUGAACCUGCCUCCUCCUGGAUAAUUAGUCAGGUUCUUAACCCACUGAUCCACAGUGGGAACUCUGUGAAACUACAUUCUGAUAGAGAAUCCAGAGGAGUUCUCUUGUGGUACAGUGGAUUAAGGAUCUGGCAGAGUCACUGCAGUGACUUGAGUCACUGCUGUGGCACAGGUUCAAUCCCUGGCCCUGGAAGUUUGAUAUACUGCAGGUGCAUCCCCUACCCAUCCCCUGUAAAAAAGAAAGAAUCCAGUUCUAGAGAAUGAUCUGCCCUACUUUUGUAGAUUUAUGAAACAAAAAGGGGUCAGUGUGCAGGACUGUUGCUGUUACAUGCAGAGCAUUGGUCUUUACUGACCACAGGUUUCCUGUGGCUGUAGCAGCUACCACAAAUGAUGGCUUAAAAAACAGUGGAACUGUGGGAGUUCCCAUCGUGGCUCAGCAGAAACGAAUCUGACUAGUAUCCAUGAGGGUGCAGGUUUGAUCCCUGGCCUCACUCAGUGGGUCGAGGAUCUGGCAUUGCCGUGAGCUGUGGUGUAGGCUGGCAGCUGCAGCUCUUGAUUCGACCCCUAGCCUGGUAACUUCCAUAUGCCAUGACUGCGGCCCAAAAAAGACCAAACAAAACCAAAAAAAAUAAAUAAAUAAGUGCAUUCUCCAGCGUGGGCUCCCUUUGGCGGCUCUAGGGGAAGGUCUGGUUCUCACCUUUUCCAGCUUCUGAGGGCCUCGUGGCAGUCCCUGGUUGUUGGUGGCAUCAGCAAACUCCCCCGUCUGUCUUUACAUUGUCUUCUCCUAAGUCUAAAUACUCACUCUGCCUUUCUGCAUGAGGACACAUGCAAUUGAAUCUAGGGCCCACCCAGGUCAUCCAAGACAAACCCUUGAGGACUUGGAUGUAUUUUUAAUUUUUUUUUGUCUUUUUAGGGCCGCACCCUCGGCAUAUGGAAGUUCCAGGCUAGGGGUCGAGUCAGAGCUGCAGUGCUGGCCUACACCACAGCCACAGCAAUGCAGGAUCUGAGCCAUAUCUUCGACCUACACCACAGCUCAUGGCAACACUGGAUCCUUAACCCACUGAGUGAGGCCAGAUAUCGAACCUGCAUCUUCAUGGAUGCAAGUCAGAUUCAUUCCUGCUGAGCUACGACCAGAACUCCAGGACUUGGAUGUAUUUUUGAGGCGUCUCUUCAACUCACCAUACCAGGAUAUUUCUGUGGCUCCAAAUAGCCAACCAAAAAAGAUAGUAAAAAAGCAGAGCUCAGGCCUUUCCCCUGUGGCACAGUGGAUUAGGAUCAGACUUUAGCCACUGGGGUUGCUGCCAAGGUGCGGGUUCAAUCCCCGGCCCAGCGCAGUGGGUUAAAGGAUCUAGCAUUGCCACAGCUGUGGCAUGGGAUCACAAUUGUGGCUCAGAUUCAAUCUCUGGCCCGGGAAUUGCAUAUGCUGUGGGUGUGGCCAUAAGAUGAAAAAAAAAGGGGGGGGCACAAAAAUAUUUCCCAUAUAUCAAGCCAUUGUUAUUAAGUACCUAGAUUUUUUUUUAAUUGUGGUUUCUCUACCU